rnacentral:rRNA from 1 species
UACGUAGGUCCCGAGCGUUGUCCGGAUUUAUUGGGCGUAAAGCGAGCGCAGGUGGUUUAUUAAGUCUGGUGUAAAAGGCAGUGGCUCAACCAUUGUAUGCAUUGGAAACUGGUAGACUUGAGUGCAGGAGAGGAGAGUGGAAUUCCAUGUGUAGCGGUGAAAUGCGUAGAUAUAUGGAAGAACACCAGUGGCGAAAGCGGCUCUCUGGCCUGUAACAGACACUGAGGCUCGAAAGCGUGGGGAGCAAGCAGG